rnacentral:lncRNA from 1 species
CCAGACCGCUUACUUUUCCCACCACCAUAAUUAGCCCGUGAUGCGUAACGAUUAAGCCAAGCAGGUACUUCCUGAUUAGCUUCUUGCAUUAGCUCAGUUAGAGGCCUUGCCAAGGACAUAUUGUUCUCGUUGAAAAAGGCUGUGGCCAAUCCUGAUUUUCCGGCUCGUCCUGUCCUUCCUAUCCGAUGAACAUAAUCAUCGAUGUCAUUGGGCANNNNNNNNNNNNNNNNNNNNNNNNNNNNNNNNNNNNNNNNNNNNNNNNNNNNNNNNNNNNNNNNNNNNNNNNNNNNNNNNNNNNNNNNNNNNNNNNNNNNCAGAAUUAUUAUGUUCCAAGUCACAACAGUUACAGCUUGUCCAAAGCAGACUGCAUGACAGAAGGAACACAAUACAAUGAACUAAGAAAUUUCAAAGGGUUAUUUUCCUAUUACCAUCAGGAAAAAUAAAUAUUAAAUUGAAACAAAAUAAUGUUACAGAAGGGAAGAAGUCUUAUUUCAACCCCAAAGGCAAUAAUAAUGUUCUGGCAAAAACAUGCUGAAUAAAAAAUAGCACAAUACAUGCAUAUUCAUAUUAAUCUUCUAGUUAAAAAUGAUAUUCUAACUAAUUUUUUCCUUCAAAAGUACAGAUCCGACCAACUCACCUGUUGUGUUCUGUCACCAUGAAUAGUAGUUGCAGGAAACCCAUUCAUAUACAACCAGUGUUCCAAUGCGUCAGCACCUUUCUUUGUCUCAACAAAAACUAAUGUCAAAGCUUGCUGCAAUUAAAGGAAAAGCAAUUUAACUUCAAACCAAAGCCAACUAAUACAACCCAUCAAAUUAAAUCAGAAUGCAUACCGUUGUUCAAGACAGUUUGAAUAUCAAACAGAAUUUCUAGAAACAGAGAAUAAAGAAUAAUACAUAACUAAAAUAGGCAACUCAAAAUUUAAAUUACCUUGCCAUGAACUCCAUUUGCCACCUGUGCAUGCAAGAGGUCCAUCAGAUGGCUUCUUUUGUCUGACUCAUGAACGAACUCAACUCUUUGAACAAUUAAAUCAGUGCUUGAACCAACCCUUCCAACAGCCAGAAAAAUAUACUUUGCUAGGAAGUCCGAUGCCAAUCUCUGCGUGCCAAGAAAAUUGCAAAAGAAAAUUGUCAGAUGAAUUGACACCAAUUCUCAUUUCAACAUCUAUCAUAAACUCCCACUGCAAAUGAGAAAACCUCUUCAACAUUACAUCUUAUACAACAUAUCUCUGUUACAGCAAAUUCAUUUUCAUAUUGAAAUGGAUAAAAGUAGCUUUCACAACUCCAACCCACCCAACAUUGGGCCUCCUAAGGACUCAAAACCAUGAUUUGAUUAUGAUUGGAUGAGCAGCACUAGACAUGGCAGAAAUUCAACCGUCUCGAGCACCAAGAUUGGACAACCUUAAUACUUUUACUAAAUGAACUAUACCUUAAUACUUUUAGCAGAAAUUCAACCGUCUCGAGCACCAAGAUUGGACAACCUUAAUACUUUUACUAAAUGAACAAUACCUUAAUACUUUUAGAAGUAGUAGUAGUAGUAGUAGUAGUAGCCCCUCCACAGAAAAUCAUGAAUGUCACAUGAAGAUCGAUGCCACCAGUGAUUGUAAAGAUAAAAAUUGUAAAGUGAUUGUAGUAAAGAUAAAAGCAACUUGCAUAGAAAAUAUAAAUUAAAAACCUGUAUCUCUUUCGGGAAGGUGGCACUGAAAAGCAUUGUCUGUCUCAUACCAGGUGGAGGCAUAUCCAUUUGUUGCACUAUUUUUCUGAUUUGAGGCUCAAAACCCAUAUCCAGCAUCCGAUCUGCCUCAUCGAGAGCUAAGUAUCUAAUCAUCUGCAAUGAAACUCUAGCUCUCUCAAGCAGAUCAACCAAUCUUCCUGGAGUAGCCACAAGAAUAUCAACCCCUCUCUCAAGCUCUCGCAACUGACAACACAACAAAAAAUCAGUAUACAAAACAAAGGUGGGUAGAACAAAUAUUAAAAAAUCUUCAAUUUGAAGACUAAUAUAGCAUCAAGACAAAGGCAGUACAAUGAAAAACAGCUAAUACUAUCAAAUAAUAAAUUUAUAAGUUAAAAAAAAAACAUUAAUUAAAAAGGUCAUGUGAUACCAUUCAGCAAAUGAGCUUGCAUUUCUUACUAGUGAACCAAUAUAACAAACACCAUAAACUGUCCAAAAGAAAAAAGCAACACAUCAUUCCUACAUCCUCUCUCGGAUAGAGAAGAAUCUUGUCAAUCGAAAGCUGUCCCUCUAUUUUAUUAACACAAAAAUUCACCCAUCUUUUACACUUCAGACAAGGUUACAGCGACCAACAGAAGAUAGAAACAUUCACAGCCGAAAUGGCCACCAACAUCCAUUCCAGUCCAAAUCAAAGCAAUGAUCAAUAAAUCAAAAAAGACUCUAAGCAUGGCUCCAAAAUCUUUGACAACAAAGAAGAAAUGCAAACCACAUUGUUAUAUCUCCAACAUAUCACCCAAAAAAAAAAAAAAAAAGAAAGAAAGAAAAGAAAAGAGAAAUAACAAGAAAGUUCAAAUAAAUGUCAGAACUCCAUCGGCAAACAUAAGAGAAAAGCUAUCAGUUCAAUUUGCAUCAAUCCCAAAUUUCAGCAGUGGUAAUAGUUGCAACACAGACAUCCUGAAAGCAAUUUCUGCAGUUUAUGAAUUCAAAAAGAAGAUAUUUUGAGUUGAAGAAAAGUAAAUAAUUAGUCACAAAUUUAUGUCAAGCAGUUGUAAUUUUAGUACAUAAUAAACCAGAUAAAACAAAUAAAGAACACCUAACAAAGAAGACAGGGACCAAAAUGUUAAGGAUUUCAUAAUUUUCAAAAGAAGAAAACCAAAAAUACAAUCAAGAAUGAGAACGAUGGAAACCUGUUGGUUGAUUGGUGCUCCUCCGUAAGCAACCACCACCUUGACACCAGUUUGAUAGGAAAAUUUCUUGGCUUCAACAUGGAUCUGCAACCCAUAAAUGACACAAAAUGAUUAUUACCCAGUUUGAAAAAGUGCAGUGGUCCAAACAAAAAUCCUACCUGAGACGAGAGUUCUCUUGUGGGGGCAAGAAUAAGAGCCAGAGGAUAAACAGUCCGCGAUCCACGUGGUCUCUGUACGUACUGCUCACGCAUAAUCCCACUAAUAAUUGGAAAACAAAAGGCAGCUGUCUUCCCCGACCCUGUCUGAGCACAGGCCAUUAAAUCUCGCCCAGCAAUCGAUAUAGGAAUCGCAUGACGCUGAACAGGCGUCGGUUUGACAUACUUGCACCUCCUAAUAUUAAGAUUCAAAGCUUCCCCCAAAUCAAUUUCUGCAAAUGUAUUAACUGCCGGUGGCACAUUUUCUCCACUUGUCUCCACCGGAAUAUCCUCAUAAGCAUCAAAAUUAAUACCCGUGUUUUCUUCUUCAGCAACCGGCUGCUCUGCACCAACAUCAUCACCAAACGGGUUCACUUCACGUUCCCUUCGGUCCCAACCCCCACUUCUAUUAUUCCAACCACCGCCACUUCUACCACCAGAGCCGUAACCCUGACCACGCCCAAAAUCGGGCCUUGAACCACUGCCCCAGCGGGGGCCACUGGCAGGUUCAGUAGAUUCUCGUGACGAAGCAGGAGGUUCAGAAGAGGUUGGUGGCUUGUUACGGAGAUGUGGCGGAACAUAAGUGGAUCGAGUGGGACGAGGUAAGGCACUGGUAUUAGAAGAAGCAGGGGCCGCAUUCUCAGAUGCAGACACUGAAUCAGCCCAUGAAGUGCUCAUAAUUCCCAAAUUUUAGCUCCCCUUGUUUUAACAAUUAACACACAAUGCUCCACGUUUCUCAAUCGAAAUUUCUCGUUUGCUUCCUAACUAUUUAGCUAGCAGAUCAAAACUCUGAAAAACCAGAAGGCAUCUACAAUCAAGCUAACAAACCCAAACAAAGUAAAAUAGAUAGUACAAGGACCACGAAAUGUACAACACAAUAAAUAAAAAUUUAAAAAAAAGUUAAACAAUUCGACAAAAUUUAAAUAAUAUUGUACCAUAUGCCGCAAGUAAAUUAAAAUCCUAAACAAAUGCGUGCAUCAAUACUAAGAGAACAAAAUCAGCACAAUCAGAAACGACAACAUUCAUACAAUGCGAUUACGAACCAAAAACAAAUUUUCAACACAAAAACGCAAACGAAAACAAAUAAAAAUUUGCGAGUGCUUGAACAUGGCUCGAAGUCUAAAUUCGAAGAACUACGAGACGUAAAUCUGUAAAUACAGAAAAGAAACCCUAAUUUUUCGAUCCGACACGAAGCAGAAGUUUCGGUUAAAAUAUGAAAUAACGAGAGAGAUAUUUAUCUUUUUUUUAAAAAAAUUUUUAAGAUGUGGAAAAAAAAAGUUUACCUUCGUUUGAAAAAUCAGAUGAAAAUCAAAUCUAUUUCUUCGUUUUUUCUUCUUCUUUUCGUUGCUUGUGUUGUGGUUGUGUGCACCAAACAGGGAGAUUCCUUAUAAUUUUAAAAUAUCUAUAUAAAAAAAAACACACACACACACUGUUUUUAUGGUGCGAUCCCUGUUGUUUGCUAUAAAAUAACAACAUUACAGAGGUUUGAAUAUUCUGACACAUAAGUCCUGUUUGUUUCAAUGUUUUUAUACUUAGAUCCGUUGACUGUCGUUGACCUUUAAUCAAAUAAUGGUAGAAGGGCAAAAUCGUCAGAAAUUAUUCUAAAUAAACAACAGCUACACAUCCAAGGUGACAUUAAAGGAGAUUGUUAACUCUCCCACCAAGGUGAACAUAUAUCAUCACUUAAUUAAUCCCUUACUAUUAUCAUAUCAGUCAACAAUUUUUUGACAACAUAAUUUUACAAUAUUAUCUUCGUUUUUAAAUAUACUUUUAUUCAUAUUUAUUAUAAAAUAAAACAUUAUAAAUUAAAUAAAUCCUAUCAAUAGGAAUUAAAAUAAAAAAUUUGAGUACUAAAUAAGAAAAUAUAUGCUUUGGUUGUAUGAACAAAAAAAAAAUAAUAACAAGAUAUUUUUAUUAUUUUUAAAUACUUUUAUAAUAAAUGUAUAUUUUAUAUUUUCAAGAUAAAUUAUCAAAUAAAUAACCCAUUUUACCCUCUACUAUUGUAAAUUUUUUAUGCCGUAUAAGUUUUGGAUAUUAUAAAAACUAUUAAAAGGUAAAUGAUGUACAUUGAUUUUAGCAAUGAAAAAUUGACAAUCUCCCUAGUAUUAAUUAGAAUAAAUUUUAUUUUAACUCAAAAAAGAUAUGUCCAACAAUCCAAGUGAAAUUUGAAAUGCAAAGUUGAUUGUGUCUUCCAUUGGUAAAAUUGAAAAAGAAAAAUUUUUUCCUUUAAAUAUGGUUAGAUUAAGAAUAGUCCAAAGUGAAGUUUAAGAUGCAAACUGCAAAGUCGAUUGUACUGUCCAUUGGUAGAAUUGAAGAUUAAAAGAAAAAAAUCAAUUGUCCUUUUUUGUCUUUUAAAAAUGGUAAGGAUAAGAAUGACAUUUUGAAACCUUGUAAUAACUUUUUUAGUGUCAAAAUAAAAAAUUUUAAAACUUCUGAUUUUUUUUUUUUUAAAAAAAAAAAACAAGUGCGGUGUUAAAAAUCAUGUACACAAAAUAAAAGAGGAGCUUGCUAUUUACAUAAUGAGGUAACAAAUAUAAAACUACAAGCUUCCUUCUCGCACCAUCACCACAAUCCAAACUUGUCUCCUCACACAUAAGACACAACAUUAAUUAAAAGCUUCACCAUCUUAUUAGCCUAUUUCUUGCGCUGCCAAGGUGAUUCCUUCUUUCCUUUGCCAGCAGCUUCAUUAUGAACUUCACCAACCUCCCCAGUCAAGCUCGGAUCAUCAUCGUUACUCAACAAGUUUUUUCCUUUCUCCCCUUUAUUACAAUCAGUCAUGGAAAUGGUAUGAUCAAAACUUUGCAUAAUCCCAAUUGUGAAAGGAAAUCCCUCAUGAAUUGAGGGAUGAACUGAAGAACCUUGAUGAGGAUUAAUAAUGUGAUGAUGUGGAUGCAUGGCAUGUAGAUGUUGAGUUCGAUGGUGAACUCUCAUUGACCCUUACAAGUCAAUGCCCAUGAAGGAGGCCCUACCUGGAAUCGUACCUCCUUGUGAUAAAUUACCUUCCAUUACUUGUAUGAUCUCACUAAUUUAGAUCAGAACCAUGAAUCAAUUUCCAGUGUAAUCCUGUUGCACAUUAAUUUAAUCUUUUUUCUUAGUCAAUUUUUCUAAGGUCGAAGGACUUCAUACAUUAAAACCAAGCAUACCCAUUACCUUUUUUCCCCUACCAAAGCUUUUCCACUUAUUAAACUAACCUCUACUAAGAAAUGUUUUACACACAAUUCGAAAAUUCUAUCACUUCAGACCAAGCAAAUAUUUGUUUCUAUUACCUUUUUAUAUAUUCAAUAUGUCAUAGUUAGCAGUUACCGCUUCACCCAUAGAUGAGUCAGUUUCCACACCUUUUGUUCCAACUUCCCACAACUCCUCUAUUAGUUUUAGCUUUCACUUCCAGUCAUUUAGAUUUUAAACUUCGCAUCCAACGAUUCUUAUUUUUUUUUAUGUUUGUUAUCUUAUUAUAUAACAUAACAUUUGUCAAUAAAAGAGUAUUAACACACACAGAGAAAGAUAAAGAAACAAAGAGUUAGCAAAACGGGUUACUGGGUUAUGUUUGUGUCGUGUUAAAUUUGGGUUUACUUAAACAUGACUCAUUUAAUAAUCAUGACAAAAUUUUGAAGCACUAACCAACAUGAAAAUUAAAUGGGUUAUCUAAUAAUUCACUUAAAAUCUAUAUAUUUAACAAUAUUUACAUCAAACAUUUGUACUAUAUGAUAUAGUGAGGAUAUCAAUAAAAUACAAAAAAAUUACAGAUUUCAAUACAUUGAAGAUUAUAUUUUUUGUCUAUUAGUGUAUUAAAAUAUGUGUUUUUUUGGUAUUUUACUGAUAUCCUUAAUCUAAUAAAAUGAAGGCCAUCUUUUUUUUUUUUUAAUGCAACCCACACUUUUAAACCGUGGAGUCUAAAAGAGUUAAAAACUAACUUUUUUAAACCUUAUGGUUUAAAAGUAUGUCUGCAUGAUAAAAAAUGAAGGUCCGCACUAGAGAAUGACUUUUAUAUAUAUAUAUAUAUAUAUAUAUUCUAAGAGUAUUAGUAAAGACUCUUUAAAUAGGAUUUUACAUAUUAUUUGAUAAGCCACAUUAAUAAAAAGAAUUUCAAAAAACUCUUUAAAUGAGAUUUUUUAAAUAAGAAGGUCCCCUCUUUUUAAUAUUUGAAGAAUCUUAUUUAAAGAAUCUUCUAAAGUCUCUAAUUUUACAUUAAAUUAUUUUUACCUCAUUAUUCAUAAAGAGAGUGAAGCGUUAUAAUUGCUAAUAUUUUAAUGAAAGAAAAAAUAUGAUUAAAAUAAUAUAAAUUUAUUUUUUUAAAGAGUCUUUUAAAAGAGAAUUUAUUUUUUCACUCUUUUAUUUAUCACAUAAGUAAACAAAUAAAUAUUUGAAGAGUAAAAUUAAAAAAAAAAUAUUUUGAUGAAGCUCUAGUAUAUCUAAAUAAAAACACUUAUUAAUGAUAAUUUUUUAAACAUUUAGCACAUGAUGUUAUAAAUUUAUUAGGGCUUGUGAAAUUAUACGCAACAAGAAGAUAUAUGUUUUUUGUUGAACAAUAAGCAAUACAUGGAGAUGUUGAAAAUGCUAAAGCUGAAACUAUAGAUUUUGGAAUUAAAAUAGCAGUAGACAUUGGUUUAGUACCGUUAAUUAUUGAAUCAUACUCAAAGACCAUUAUCAACUUGGUGAAUAGGUCAAAUAGAAGCUUGAAGGAAAUAUCUUAGUUAAUUUGCAAGAUUCAAGAUUGUAUAUGUAUAAAAGACCACUUCAAAAUCAAUCAUGUCUUGAAAAGUGGUAAUAUAAUUGCUCACAGAUUAGCAAAAUAUGUUGUUACCAAUUCAACUACGGAGCAGUAAUAGUAGUAGUAGUAGUAGUAGUAGUAAGCCCUCGUAGUAAGCCCUCAACAACCAAUCAUAAAUGUCUCGCGAAGAUCAACGUACACCCUCCAACAAUCAGAAGGAUCGAAGAAGCUACCUGAAUUAUAGGAAAUCUAAAUUAAAAACCUGUAUCUCUUUCGGGAAUACGACACCAAAAGCAUCGUCUGUCUUACACCUGAAGGAGGCAUAUCCAUUAAUUUGCUCUACUAUUUUUCUGAUCAUUUAAAGCUCAAAACAUAUAUCCAACGUCUGAUCUGGUGCCUCUUUAAGAGCUAAAUAUCUAAUAAUCAUCUGUAAUGAAACUCUACCUCUCUCAAGUAGAUUAACUAAUCUUCUUAAAGUCGCCAUAAGAAUAUCAACGUCCCAUCUCUCAAGCUCUCGCAACUGACAACACAAUAAAAAAAUGAAUACAAAAAUAAGUUAGGAGGCAGUACAAAAUAUAAAUAAAUUUUUGACUUAAAAAACAGAUAUAUAGCAUAACAAACGACGACGACAGUCCAACGAAAAACACCUAAAACCAUCAAAUAAAAUAUUUAUAAGGUAACAAAUAAACGUUUUUUUUCAUAAUUUCUAAAAGAAGAAAAACAAAAAUACAAUUAAGAAUAAAAACAAUAGAAACAUGUUAGUUCAUUAGUACUCCGCCAUAAGCAACCACUACCUCGACGCUAGUUUGAAAGGAAAACUUCCUUCCUAGCUGAGCAACUUCAUCGAUGCAUUAGCAAAAACCAAAAGACAACACAAAAUGAAUAUUAAUAAGAAUUGAAAAAAUUAAAGUGAGGAAAACAUAGAACAUAUAUAAAGGGUCCAAACCAUAGGCGCCAGAGAAUCAUAACCCUGACUAAUACUAUACCCAAAAUCAGGCCUCGAACCACUGCCCCCGUGGGGCCCACUAGCAGAUCAACAGUACUUCUCAUGAUGAAGAAGGAAGGAGGUUCAAGUGAGGUUGGUGGCUUGUUACGCAGAUGUGGCGGAACAUAAGCAAAUCGAGCCGCGAGGCGAGAUAAAGGUGUUGGUACUAGAAGAAGCAGGGGCUGCAUUCUCAGAUGCAAAGACUGAAUCAGCAGCCCAUGAUGUGCUCAUAAAGUCAUAAUCACAAAAUUUACCCUCUUGUAUUGACAAUUAAAACACAGUGCUCCAAGUUUGUCAAAAUCAAAAUUUUGUUUUGCUUUCUAACAAUAAUGUAACUAUCGUAUCAAAUACCCUGGAAACAACAAUUAAUGCAAGUAUAAUCAAGCAAAAUAGAUAGUAGAAAGAUAGCGAAAUGUACAAAGGUGGCAAAAUGUACAAUACAAUUUGAAAAAAAAAUGUUGAAAGUUGAAAAAUCUCAAAAAUUAUGAAAAAAAAAAAUAAAAAAAUUUGCAUGAUAUGCUGCAAGUAUAUUAAAUUAAAAAAACAAAAGCAACACAAUUAAAAACAACAUUUCAACCAACAAAGUGUUAGCUCCACUGGCAAUGAAGUCCCCUUAAGUGGCUUGAUUGUGUUUGCUCCCCAGUUCGAGUCGUAGGGAAGUCGCCUUUGUUAGGAGAACCUGUGCCUCUCGGUUCGAGCAUGGACUUCUAGUCUGGGUUGUGGUACGGGCUUAAAGAUGCCUCCCACAGUUGGGGCUCUCCCUAGAAUACCUCGUGGUCAAAACCAAAAAAAAAAACAACGUUACAUUUGCAUGCAAAAUUCUUAAACACAAAUACGAAGACAGUUAGAAAUGCGAGUGCUUCAGUUAAGUUUGAAAAGUUACGAGGCGUAAAUUUGUAAAUAGAGAAAAAAAAAAGCCUUAAUUUUCGUAUGCUUUUAGAGAUCAGACACGAAGCAUAGUGCUAUCAGUUAAAAAAGCAGAAAAUGUUUUUAUCUUCAUUUGAAAAUCGGAGUGAAAUCAAAUCUCUAGCUUUCUUCAUUUUUUUUUUUACUUCUGCUUUCUGUUACUGGUGUAGUAGUCUGCACUAAAUAUAAGAGAAUUUUGUUUUAUUUGGAAAUAGGCUGCGGCUAAAUUAGUAACUUACAGUCGGUCAGCAUGAAACGUUGGAUUUAAGGACUGAAAUCUAAUUGAUGAUAUGUGAAUUGUGAUUGAAUGUCAAAAAACUAAAGAGGAAACAUGGGUUGACAAACAUAGGCGCAAAUGUUGCAUUUGGUGCAGCAAGGUGGUACCGGAGACUCUAUUGGAUCACGUUUUAGAUUAGAUUAUAGUAUGGUACCAUAUUUGGCGUGGCAUUGUAUAAUUUUUUUUUUAUAAUAUAGUUUAUAUUAAAGUAGUAUUAUUUUAAAUUAUUAAUAAGAAAAUGAAACUAUUGAUAGUCAUCACCAAAAAUUUAUAGACAAUCUAUGUUUUAAGUCAUACUUGGUGGUGUCAUUAGAAUUCUCAUAUGAGCUCUAUGAAUUAGUACUAAUAUCAUAUGAUCUCUAGUUUGUAUUCAAAACUUUGAUGGUAAAUCUAUGAUGAAAAAAAAUUAUGUUAUUGAUGCUCUAGUGAUAUUGUUGCAAAGAGCUCAAUAUGAGCAUAAUAAUAAUAAUAAUAAUAAUAAUAAUAAUAAUAAUGUUAUUGAUUAAAAAAAGAAAAGAAAAAAAAAAAAAAAGAUUGAAAAGGGCCUAUGGUAAGAAAAGGAGAAAUAUUGGGUCAUGAUAAUAAAAUAGCAAAACAAAUGACGGGAUUUCCAUUUUUUCCCCUCUCUUUCUCAUUUCUUCUUCCCCGUGGUGUUUUACUCUUCACUUAAAAAAACCGAGUAAAAGUAGCAAUAAAUCUUAAAUUCUUCGCUUUGUGUGAUGAUCUUCAAAACCCAAAAUUCAAUCCUCUCAGUUGAAAAGCUAUUGUCUUUGAAACGACCACAUAAACCCUCAGGAGCAAAGGCGAACACUCUUCUUCAGAAUCGAUGGAUAACCAGAGUUCGUUUAAAAUGGGUCAAGAACCGAGGCCUAGACCACAUUAUAGAUAUAGACACCGAUCUAAAGGCCGCUUGCUUAUUGAAAGACGCUAUCAAGCGCUCUUCUACUGGUUUCCUCACUGCUAACUCCGUCUCUGAUUGGCACAAGCUCCUUGGCCUCACUGUCCCCGUUAUCCGCUUUUUGCGCAGGUUUCUUUUCUUUCACUUUUUCUUAAAAGAAAAUUAUUUCUUUAAUGGAUUUUCACAUACCUAUUUGGUCUAUUUGCUUGGUUUUUUGAUUGGUUACAAUCAUAUUUUCUAUUCCAUUUGUUUUUUUUUUUUUUAAAUGGUUGUUAUGGUGAUUAUUUUCUGGGCUUACUGUAGGUAUCCUACUCUUUUUCAUGAAUUUCCUCAUAGCCGUUAUGCAAAUUUGCCUUGCUUCCGGCUGACAGAUACUGCUCUGUUGUUGGACUCACUUGAGCAGAAAAUACACCUUACUUAUGAGAAUGAUACCAUGGAGAGGCUGUGUAGUGUACUUAUGAUGAUGAGGACUAGGACAGCACCACUCCAGUCACUGCAUUCUUUAAAAUGGGAUCUAGGUUUGCCAGAUAAUUUUGAGAAGAUAUUAGUUCCAAAAUUCUCUGAUGAUUUUCGAUUCUCUAAGACCUCAAGUGGGGUUGCGGGUUUGCAGCUUUCACGAUGGCGUGAAGAAUUUGCAGUUUCUGAAUUGGAGAAAAGUAAUGAGAAGAGUGAGAUGGGUAAUGAGUAUAGGCAAUUCAAGAGCGGUCAAACAGCAUUGGCAUUCCCAAUGAAUUUUCCAAGGGGAUAUGGAGCACAGAAGAAGGUGAGAGCAUGGAUGGAUGAGUUUCAGAAGCUUCCAUAUAUUUCACCAUAUGAUGAUUCUAGGAAUAUUGAUCCAAAUAGCGAGCUUAUGGAGAAACGGGCUGUUGGGAUUUUACACGAAUUUUUGAGCUUGACUAUUCACAAGAAGACUAAGCGGAACUACUUGAGAAGCUUGAGAGAGGAACUGAAUCUUCCGCAUAAGUUUACUCGACUAUUCACUAGGUAUCCAGGGAUCUUCUACCUCUCACUGAAGUGUAAGACAACUACCGUGACUCUCAAGGAAGGGUACCAGCGGGGAAAGCUAGUGAAUCCGCAUCCUCUUGUUAAUCUUAGAAAGAAAUUUUAUCAUGUAAUGAGAAUGGGGCUUCUUUAUCGUGCUAAAGGUGUGAAUAUGAUACCUCCACUAAAUAUAUCACUUGACGAUAAUAUUGAGAAUGAAACAGAACAAGAAGAGACUGAAGAGGAAGAGAUAGAGACAGGUGAAGAAUGCUACGAGGAAACCUCAGAAUUGGAGGAUGAGUCCGAUGAAGAGUAACGAAUAAUGAUUAUGCAAUGGAGCCAAUAUUUUUACCUGCUUGGAAAUGAAGUUAUGAAUUUUGAUUACAUGAGGUCAGUGCUUUUAAUCGAAAGUGGUUAACUAUUGGUUAUUCUUUACUCGAGCAUGACUGUGACUACCAACCUUUGAUUUGCUAAGUCCUGAUUCAGUUAUGUUUGUUUCUUUCUAUAAUCUAUAUGAGAUAUCCUUACAGCUAAGUUGGGAAUGGUUGGUGUUCUUUGGGUUAAUGUUCUGCUUUAGUUGCAUGAUUGCUUAAUAAUGAUUUUUUUUUUCAAAGAUGUUUAUUAAUGAUUUUGUAUCAAUUUUUAUAAGAUGCGAAUUAACAUUGAAUAUUUUGAUGAGUGUUUAGUAUGAGCAAUCAAGUGAUUCGCAGAGCUUUGGCCGAGUGGUUGGAACUCAAGCUCUCACACAUUGUGAGAGCUUGAGUUCGAGUCCCCAUAUAGCAAUAUGGAGACUUAUUGCUCUCUCAAAUUUGAGUGGAGGCUGGUCUUCUCCCUUAUGAAAUGUUAGUGGAGUAGACAUUCUCGAUUAUUCGUGAUGGUUAAAAUGCUUCUUAUGAUAUUAAUGUACUCUUGUCCCAGUAAUAAUUUGAUUUGUAAAUAUCAGUUACAGUCUCAUGUAAUAUGAGUUGUAGUCUUGAGCAGUAGUCUCAUGUUAAAAAAAAAAAUCAAGUGAUUCACUGGCCAUUGCAAACUUGUACUGAGCACAGAAUGAGAAAAUGGUAGCUAUGCUAAUAGAAUAUUUUCCAACUUCUUCGAUUCAUUCAGAACUUCCACUUGAAAAUCUUGACUUGCGAAAAAUCAAGAAUCCAUUAUCUACUUUUCUUUUUCUCUGCAGGUUUUAACCAUCACUCAUGUCCGAGGGUCCAAAUUUCAAACCACCACAUUUGCUGUUUAAAUUUAGCUUGGAAACGAUGUUGCUGGGUUGCCGUGAAGCAACUUCAAGGAGAGUACUGGAGGGAGAAAUCUUCUUGUAGAAUUUGCAAAUUUUAUUACACAAGGAAAAAGAAAUAAGGAAAUCAAAAAAGUAAUACUGACAUAUCAGAAAAAUUUUUAAUUCCAAACUUCCAAUUCUUUCUUUAUCGUUUCUGAGAAUGCUAAUUCCAUUAUUCGUAUCCAAACAAAGAAAGGGAGACAUGGUGAUUGCAAGCAGAUUUUGCACUCAUGAGAGUAUUGGGACAAUAUUAUCGAUUUUCAACGAACGUGCAAAGCAACCAGCUGAUUGAUUUAAUCCAUCCCCAGCUUACAAGAUCUCUUAUAGAAUCAGUCAAUUAAUUCCAACUUAGAUUCAACAUAUCCAUGUGGAUAAAAUUUUUCAUCACACAAACAAAUUUUGAAAACAACGCACCCCCUGAUCAGCCAAACGAACGUGAAUUACCGAACCAGCUGUAAAUUUAACCUUUCAAUAUUCUAAACUCAGGUCGGGGAAGCUAUACUUGCAUCAUACUCUGGUUGUAAAUGCCAAAAAGGAAAAAAUGAGACCCAGUUCCAAGCCCUCCCCAUUGACAUUUCUAAUGCUAUUCAGUUUUUACCUCCAACCAAACGUCACCAGAACUUCGUUAAAGCUGAUAAGUUGAGUUAGCACUAAGCCCACAGCCCUCGCCAAAGCUGAUAAGUUGAGCUAAGACUAAGCCCACAGCCCUCGCCGUGAAACUGAGAGCAAAAGAAUUUCCUAAACUAGAAACCGAAUUGCCAAAGACAGAAGUAAACAAAGAUGGAUAGAGAAUAAUCCAUAAAUUUUUGAAGAAAAACAAUAUAUAUACUCGAACAGUUGUAAAGACAUUUCAGUGUAAGGUGGGGAUCUUAAUCCCAUGCACUGGUCACACCAGGAUUGCUGUAACCAUAUCCCCCACCAUAACCACCACCUGGAACCCCAUAUGCAUUGCUACUACUAUUCACUCCACUGUAAAAGUCAUUAGAUGUGCCUCUAGUAAAUGAGCCGUCUCUUCUGAAGUCACGACCACCAAAACGGUUUCCUCCAGAUCGCUUAUUUUUGCCACCGCCAUAAUUAGCCCGUGAUGCGUAACGAGUAAGCCAAGCAGGUACUUCCUGAUUAGAUUCUUGCAUUAGCUCAGCUAGAGGCCUUGCCAAUGACAAAUUGUUCUCGUUAAAAAAGGCUGUAGCCAAUCCUGAUUUCCCAGCUCGUCCUGUCCUUCCUAUCCGAUGUACAUAAUCAUCAAUGUCAUUAGGGAGAUCAAAGUUGACUACAUGAGCUACAUGCGGUAUAUCAAGACCACGUGCCGCCACAUCAGUAGCUACUAAAAUUGGUGUCUUUCCACUCUUAAAUGAUCUCAAUGCUAGUUCCCUUUCCUGCACACACACCCCCCAAAAAAAAAAUCAGCAUUAUUAUGUACAAAUCACUACCGCAACUGCAUUGCCAUAGUGCAGGACAAAAGGAACAGAAUACAAUGAACUGAUAAUUAUCAGUUGGAUACUUCUCACUCUAAACAGGAAUAGAAAACUUAAAUGGAACCAAAAUCAGAAAACUUAAAUGGAACCAAAAUCACAACACCCAAUAUUACAGAAAAGAAGUCAUUUUUCCACGCAUAAGGCAAUAAUAUUAUCCUUUCACAAACAUGCUGACUAAAAAAUUACAAAAUACCUACAUAUUUUUACUUAGCUUCUACUUAACAAAUGAGAUCCUUACUAACUUAAUUUUUUUUCCCUUUAACUGUAUAGAUCCCGACUGACUCACCUG